rnacentral:rRNA from 1 species
UACGGAGGAUGCAAGCGUUAUCCGGAUUGAUUGGGCGUAAAGCGUCUGUAGGUGGUUACGCUAGUCGGCUGUUAAAGAUCAGGGCUGAACCCUGAGCAAGCAGUCGAAACUGCGUGGCUGGAGUACGGUAGGGGCAGAGGGAAUUUCCGGUGGAGCGGUGAAAUGCGUAGAGAUCGGAAAGAACACCAACGGCGAAAGCACUCUGCUGGGCCGAACACUGACACUGAGAGACGAAAGCUAGGGGAGCGAAUGGG